UGGGGAAUCUUGCGCAAUGGGGGCAACCCUGACGCAGCGACGCCGCGUGCGGGACGAAGGCCUUCGGGUCGUAAACCGCUUUCAGCAGGGACGAGACAAGACGGUACCUGCAGAAGAAGCCCCGGCUAACUACGUGCCAGCAGCCGCGGUAAUACGUAGGGGGCGAGCGUUAUCCGGAUUCAUUGGGCGUAAAGCGCGCGUAGGCGGCCGCGUAGGCGGGGGGUCAAAUCCCGGGGCUCAACCCCGGUCCGCCCCCCGAACCCCGCGGCUCGGGUCCGGUAGGGGAGGGUGGAAUUCCCGGUGUAGCGGUGGAAUGCGCAGAUAUCGGGAGGAACACCGGUGGCGAAGGCGGCCCUCUGGGCCGAGACCGACGCUGAGGCGCGAAAGCUGGGGGAGCGAA
rnacentral:rRNA from 1 species